GUUGCAAGGGAGAGAUAGAAAGGCAUGUAUUCAACACUCCUUGUCUUAAUCACCAAAUUAAUGACACAAAGAGGAGACGCAAACAUGGAAAUGAGAGAAAAAACACUUAGAUAUCCAACAAAUGUCUGCCGAUCAUGAGAGUGAAAAAAAUUCAAGCUCACAAAGACUAUCACUGCAAAUACUGCAAGAACUGCAACCAGUAGUCCUGACAUCUU
rnacentral:misc_RNA from 1 species